rnacentral:rRNA from 1 species
GGUACGUACACGCUUUGUAGUCGUGAGAUGUUGGGUUAAGUCCCGCAACGAGCGCAACCCUUGAUCUUAGUUGCCAGCAUUUAGUUGGGCACUCUAAGGUGACUGCCGGUGACAAACCGGAGGAAGGUGGGGAUGACGUCAAAUCAUCAUGCCCCUUAUGACCUGGGCUACACACGUGCUACAAUGGACAGAACAAAGGGCUGCAAGACCGCAAGGUUUAGCCAAUCCCAUAAAUCUGUUCUCAGUUCGGAUCGCAGUCUGCAACUCGACUGCGUGAAGCUGGAAUCGCUAGUAAUCGCGGAUCAG